rnacentral:rRNA from 1 species
AAACCAACAGGGAUUGCCUCAGUAACGGCGAGUGAAGCGGCAAAAGCUCAAAUUUGAAAUCUAGCACCUUCGGUGUUUGAGUUGUAAUUUGAAGAUGGUAACCUUGGGUUUGGCUCUGUCUAUGUUCCUUGGAACAGGACGUCAUAGAGGGUGAGAAUCCCGUCUGAUGAGAUGCCCAUUCCUAUGUAAGGUGCUAUCGAAGAGUCGAGUUGUUUGGGAAUGCAGCUCUAAGUGGGUGGUAAAUUCCAUCUAAAGCUAAAUAUUGGCGAGAGACCGAUAGCGAACAAGUACAGUGAUGGAAAGAUGAAAAGAACUUUGAAAAGAGAGUGAAAAAGUACGUGAAAUUGUUGAAAGGGAAGGGCAUUAGAUCAGACUUGGUGUUUUACGAUUAUCUUCUCUUCUUGAGUUGUGCACUCGUAUUUCACUGGGCCAGCAUCGAUUCGGAUGGCAAGAUAAUGGCAGUUGAAUGUGGCUUCACUUCGGUGGAGUGUUAUAGCUUCUGCUGAUAUUGCCUGUCUGGAUCGAGGGCUGCGUCUUUUGACUAGGAUGCUGGCGUAAUGAUCUAAUGCCG